rnacentral:lncRNA from 1 species
UUUUGUUGAGUGUUCAACUUCCAUGAUUUGUGAAAUUCUUAUGCCUUAUCCUAUGAGCUUGAAAUUUUACAUAUGUUUUCUAGACACAUUGAAGUUCAUUUUGGUUUUGGUUUAGAUCAUUUCUCAUUUGUUAUCACUGUUUUAUGCUUGUGUGAAGUUGGUGUACCAUUUGUGGUCUUGUUUGAGUUGGUUUUUGUAUACCAUGACUUGAUGAAUUUAAU